rnacentral:tRNA from 1 species
GCCGGUGUGGUGGAAUUGGCAGACACCUGGGACUUAAAAUCCCAUAUCCGCAAGGAUGUACGGGUUCGAUCCCCGUCACCGGCACCA